CUAGAAUUAGAUAGGCGGCAAACGCAAGUUCCUAUGAGAUCGAUACUUGGGCUUUUUUGAAGCCACUUUACUACUUGAUAAGACCACAUACACUUACGUGUGCACUUGGGCGCUGUCAGAAACUCUGUGAAUUUCCUUUUCAAUGGACCAACUCCUCUAGGGAUACUGAUAGGAGACCCACGUUGCUUGAAAAAAUUAUCGACUUGAUCUCCC
rnacentral:lncRNA from 1 species